rnacentral:rRNA from 1 species
AUUGAACGCUGGCGGCAGGCCUAACACAUGCAAGUCGAACGAGGGGCGGGCGGGAGAGUAAUGUCUGGGAAACUGCCUGCUGGAGGGGGAUAACUACUGGAAACGGUAGCUAAUACCGCAUACCAUCAGAUGUGCCCAGAUGGGAGUAGCUUGUUGGUGGGGUAACGGCGCACCAAGGCGACUAUCCCUAGCUGGUCUGAGAGGAUGACCAGACACACUGGAACUGAGAGACGGUCCAGACGCCUACGGGAGGAAGCAGUGGGGAAUAUUGGACAAUGGGCGAAAGCCUGAUGCAGCCAUGCUGCGUGUAUGAAGAAGGCCUUCGGGUUGUAAAGUACUUUCAGUGUGGAGGCGUUACCCGCAGAAGAAGCACCGGCUAACGCCGUGCCAGCCGCCGCGGUAAUAC